rnacentral:lncRNA from 1 species
UUUUCUUCCCCAAUUCGCAUUCUACUGUGAAAUACUUCGCAUCUUCAUUCUUACACCCUUCGCAUCCCUUCGCAUUUAUCUCUUUAAAAAUUCUGCAAUUUCAUCAUUUUAUGACCCCAUUUGCGAAGUUGAGUAUUUAUUUCCAAAAAUGCGAAACUCCAGGGACAAUAUUUGAAAUCUUCUGUUUUCUUCCCCAAUUCGCAUUCUACUGUGAAAUACUUCGCAUCUUCAUUCUUACACCCUUCGCAUCCCUUCGCAUUUAUCACCUUAAAAAUUCUGCAAUUUCAUCAUUUUAUGACUCCAUUUGCGAAGUUGGGUAUUUAUUUCCAAAAAUGCGAAACUCCGGGGACAAUAUUUGAAAUCUUCUGUUUUCUUCCCCAAUUCGCAUUCUACUGUGAAAUACUUCGCAUCUUCAUUCUUACACCCUUCGCAUCCCUUCGCAUUUAUCACCUUCGCAUUUUAAGCUAAUUAAUCGAAUGCGAUUCACAAAAUUUUCAUUCAAGAUGCGAACACAGUUUAGUUCUUGAACUCUAAACUUGCGAAAUCAAAAAUUCAUAUGUUGAACCCAUAUGCGAAUAUUAACCCAAUUGACUUCAAAUUGACUCAUAGAUGCGAACACUCGAUUGUUUUACUUUCGCAAAAUGAGCAUCAACAACUCCACAAUCGAGUUUUUAAAUUCUUACAAACAACAAUUUCAUAGUCCUUGACUUCGCGUCUUUCUUCACGAAUCACCCCUCAAUCAUCAAUCCAAUUGCGAAUCAAAACUCAUGUUCUUGCUUUAUCGAUUCAUCGACUACACUCAUACAAAUGCGAACAAUACUCAAUUUCAAAAUCGAUUGAAACUUAUAGCAAAGCUAAAUCCAACUUCGCAUUCAAGCAGUGUUAUUGAUUCGCAGUCACAAGCAACCACCCCACACCCACUCUAUGACCAGCCAUACCUCCCCACCUUACCUAUGUCACUUCAAUGUUCCCUUACACUCAAUUUACCCUCCUUCCCACGUUUUUAGAGCGGGAACAAACAUCCUCUCUCCUCAUUUCUCUCAAUUGCCCUCAUUUCACUAAAGUAUCAAACACCACUUUUCUCUCAAACUCUUCUACACAAAUUUUCGAGAUCCAAGGCUGGAUUCAAGUGUUCUUCCACACUUAAUUCCCGAAAACCUUCAAGGCAUCUCCAAGUGUUCUUAAAUUAAACACUUCCAUUCUUCAACACUUAUCUGCUGAAAUCACUUAAGGUGAGUUCAUACCCCUACAUUUUCAUGUUUUCUCAAGUUUUCAGGGGGGGAAUACAAGUUAAAACACUAAGAACAUAUCUAAAUUUUUCUAACAGCCUUCAUCAGAAAAGUUCAUCUCCAUUCACGGACUGUUUUGGGCAUCUUAAACAUUUUUGUUUUCAAAACUGUACAAGGUGCAAAUAGUUCAAGUUUUUAGCUUUAAAAUGGCUACUUGCACAUCUCCAUACGAUUUUUCUACAAUUUAUGGUGAUUUUUACAAAACUGCCUAUCAUUUCAAACAACAAUCCGGACCAGUCUGUGAUUAUGGACUUUUUCACCCAAGUUAGAGGUCAUUAUAAAUUGCGAUAAAAAUUAUGAGCAAACUAGACACAUUUUGUGAACUCUCAGAAUUUACGGAUCUAGUUUUCGACUUCGUAUGAUUUUUCCAAAACAGGGCAAAAUUGCUAAAUUUUGCCAACAGCAUGUAAAUAUCAUAACACUUUGUAUUAUGUUGAGCAAAGUGUAAAAUCAUAAGUUCUAAUAUUUGAAUGUGUUUCCUUGCUAGUUUAUCAUUAUGAACUGAAACUAAGACAUUCAUAUUAAAUAUUAUUCAUUCAUUUUGGAACACGUACUAAUAAACUAUAAAAAGUAUAGUUUGAUAAAUCCACAACACUAAUACUUUUCCAUAAAAGAGUUCAUACAUAGUACAUACAUUUUAGAUAAACUAUAAUAGGUAUAGUUUAUGAUACAUCACUCUACGCUCUCGUACAAGAAGGUUACAUUCAUACAAGAAAUAUUUAUAUUCACACACAUUCACGUAAACUUGUUAUCCUAUAUUGUGAGUUUCUCUAUUUUUCUCUCUCUCUCUCUCUCCCCGUACGUCCGAGUGCGGGAUAUAAUUCCUGGUAGUUAUAAUCAGAAUCUCCUUGAGGGAGAACGUGAUACUUGUAUAUAGAUCUAUAUUGGGAUUGACACCCCACACCUUGCUGCUAGCUACAGUUGGACCUGCAGGUCUACGGGUGACAAUUGUCAUUUCAUUUUUCGCGACACUGAGAACGUCGUGGCAGGUUCACAUAGUCAUAGUAUGAUUAUAACGGCUCACAUAGGGAACAAUCCAUAAGUUUACGGGAUUUUAUUUUUAAAACCUAAAUGAGUUUUAUGUUGAUUUAAAGUCACCUUUUAUCUCUAUGGGUACAAAUACAAAGUACCGGGUCUCUAUACAAAAAGAGGUACAGAUACAAAGUACCGGGUCUCUAUACAAAGUUAUUAUGAUAUUAAAACUACACUUCCUCUAAAAUUGUUAGACUUCAACUAUAGUCGCUGAGCGUAUAUGUUGAGUCAUAUAAGAAUUUAGUCUUGAUUGGCCUAGAAUUGGUGGUGCCCGCCUCAUCUCCUGUUCCUCGUUGGGUUGUGGACCUAGGGCAGACCCACUAUAUUCAACGUUUUAUCCAAGUUGAACCUUAUAUAACUUUAUAUGUUGGACGAUUAUAGAGGAACUCUACGGAAUACUCUAGGGUUCAUUAAAGCAUAAUGCAGGAUUAUUUCUAUUCAUACUUAACUAAGAAAAUAUUGGAUUUUCUGGAAAUCAAACUAAAUCGAUUUUACAAGGAAAAACGGUUUCUACUUCAAACAAAACUCUUAUGAACUCACCAACCUUUGUGUUGACACUCUUUAAAACUACUUGUAUUCUCAGGAAAUCAGUGAAACAGGCAAACUUCAUCGCUUUGAGGAUGGGACGCUAAACCGUCAACAAUUUAUUUUGUCAUCAUAAUGUAAUUGCUUUUGAAACAUGUAAACAUAUACUUUGGUGUGACUUUUGCAAUUAUAUAUAUAUGGUGGUUGUUUUUACUUUGAACACUAUUAUACACGUCGUUGUGAUACUGUACAUGAAGUCCUCCACCCCCAGACGUUUCCGCCAUCCUUGGUUUGGGGGUGUGACAGAUUGGUAUCAGAGCAUUGUUUAUAGUGAACUAAGUAUAUCGAACCACAUAAGAUAUACAAACUAUAAAUGCAUUGGGACUAAGGUCUCUGAUUUUAAGAUUUCAAAACCACUAUACCUUUAAGAAUAAAUAACUUUUGUUAAAAGUAUACAUGCAUGCAUACAUACUAAGGUCAGCAUCAUUUUAGGACAAAACAAAAGUAAUGAUUGUUGGAUAUCACAGGUAAGCCUGGGGAUGUAUGAUCAGUCUUGGGAAUAGCAUAGCCUGAUCAACUAUGCUGGUCCGAGGAGUGAUUAGCAUAUGCCCAAGAAUGGUUGUGAUGUGGCAACAAGUCUAAAAACUUACCAACACUACCACAAUGAAAUACCAUAGGGGUAUUUUGGCAUUAUUAAAAUUACAUAUGUGAGAACUAAAUAGAUCUUUAUCAAUAGGUCAAUAGUUGCUUAGUGGAUACAUUAAAAUUUUAUGUAUCCAGGACGUCAUAGACUUAGAAUCUGUGGAUCUUUGCUCUACUUCCUGUUCUCGUUGGAUUGGGGAUUUAGAGUUAGGGUCGCUUAUUCGAAGGUCUAUCCUGUCCCGAAUACAUAUAAUUAGUAUGCACUAAACAAUUUGUUGAAGUACCUGAUAAAGAUCAUCGUAUAAUUAGCUAAUUAGUACGUUUGCUUAAUUAUUUCUUAUAUCCCCCUUUCUCGCGAAGAUAUCAUGGCUGGAUUUCCAUCCACACGACGACCCGUACUACCCUAACCACGACAAUACCAAAUGGCUCCGAGAGGAGCCAGAGAAUGAUUACCCAACCCCUGUAGAUGGUCACCAAGCUGAAGGCUAUGCUGAUGGUUCUGACUCCGACCCUGAAGUGGAGAACUUAACCCCGAUGACCCUUGUUCCGAAUCCCAACCCUUGACCGACUUUCAAGGCCCGACGCCUCCUUGGGUAGAGUGCAUGGAAACCUGGAGCAAAGAACAAGACCAACACAUGUCGUUUAAUAGAGAACGAAGCUUCUACAACAUAAACGAAGGAAGCUCAACAGAUACAAUUUCUCCAAUCCUGGUCCAUAGAGUUGCCCGAAACGAGAUUCUGGGUAGAACAACUCUCCAUAGUAUCGCAAAGGUUGAUGCAAAUGCAAGAAUACAUACGAUCCGCACCAAGCGCCUUGAACACACUCGUGAAAAAUCUAAGAGAGACCACAAAACCCACUAACUCGUGAAGUUCAUUCAUAUGGACUUCCUUUAUGAACUACAUAUAAGGAAUUCUUAAAUCGAAGAAAAAUGCAGGAAAAAUCAAAUUCUAUAACAACUGACUUGUCUUUACUAGUAGAAAUUUAUCAUCUGAUCAUUUUUCCUUUUUGCAAACUCAUGACAGAACAAUGCCACCAAGGAAAAGACCCAGACCUUCGGGCAGCACAGCGCCACCACCUCCGACGCCACCUCCCCAGUUUGAUCCUGAAAUGUUCCAAGCUGCAGUGACAGCAGCCGUGGUAGCUGCAAUGUCACAAAUUGGCACAAAUAGCAAUGGUGGUGCUGGAUCUGGAGCCACAAACCCUAACCACGGGGAUAGUGCAGGACGCACAAGGGAAUGCACUUACAAGGACUUCACAAAUGGCAAACCCGAUUCCUUUGAUGGAAGUGGGGGUGUCCUCGCACUAAUUCAAUGGAUCGAGAGGACCGAAGCGAUCUUUGAGAUUUGUGCUUGCCCCGAGCGAGCAAAGUCAAGUACGCGACAUUCACCUUCAUCGGAAGAGCUCUCACUUGGUGGAACGGCAAAGUUAAGUCGCUUACGCUUGCAGUGGCUAACUCGUUAAGUUGGGAGGACUUAAAGAAGAUGAUGUUGAAGGAAUAUUGCCCAAGAGGUGAAGUGCAAAAGCUGGAGCAAGAACUAUGGAAUCUCAGAAUGGCAGGCUCCGACCUUACAACUUACACCAACCGAUUUUGUGAUCUAGCACUCCUUUGUCCCGCUAUGGUCACCCCGGAAGACAAAAAGUUGGAGCGUUACCUCUGGGGAUUGUCCCCCGAAAUUCAAGAUAGCGUGCUCGCCUCAAGACCAACUACCUUCGACAGCGCCAAGGAGUUAGCACAACAACUCAUCGACCACCAUGCCCACCAUGACACUAUGGCAACCACCCUUACCCAAGCAAGAGGAGGGAACAACGAAAGAAAGUUUUGGGACAACAAGAAAGACCAAUCAACCCAAGGCCUCGCUAAGAAGCAACAGAUCCUUGCUGUUCAUGCUGCCACAACCCUCACCACACCAACUCCCAUGAAACCAUACGCAGGAACACUUCCAAAAUGCAACAAGUGUAACUUCCAUCACACUGGGGCUUGCCGAAAGUUGCAUUGCAAAAACUGCGACAGAGAGGGGCACACUGCUCGUUUCUGUAAGGCACCAGCACGACCCAUCAACCAGGUACCCGGCUCUGGAGCAAGCCCAACCUGUUACGAGUGUGGAGAAACGGGACACUUUAUAAGGGAAUGCCCAAGGACAAGAGAUGCUGGUGGUGGCGGGAGGGUGUUUGCAAUCACCGAGGGAGAAACCACUCCGGAACUGCCCGCAAAUAUCAGUACGUGUUUCUAACAUCGACAUUUAAAUCCCGAAUUUCUUUAUAUGAUAAAUCUAGCGUCGAUUAAAGCAUGCAUUGUAGUAAUCAUGUGACACCGGGCGGGUCAUUCCUCACCAUAAUCAAAUUCUUGUGCUACGAAAAGUCAUCCCCAUCUUUCCUCUAAAUUCCUGGAUCCCCAUUCGAAGUGCAAAUUUCGGGACGAAAUUCCCUUUAACGGGGGGAUGAUGUGACAACCGUCAAAUUCUGGUCAAUUCAAAGUCAAAUAAAGUCAACAAGUCAAACCGGUCAGCUCCACUAACCCGUGUGUGCUUGGACUUACGCUCAGUAUUUACUAAACAAGUCGCUACUCUAACAAGAAAACAUGAAUCGAAAAGUACGUACAACUAGAUCUCUUUAACCUAAAAACUGUACUACAUGGCGAGCCAAACUGAUGAAAACCAUGUUGCAUACUCAUCGGGAAUGUAUAAUAUGCGUUUUUCCUGGUGAGUAUUCAUAUAAAGUAUUUAUUUCCAAAAAUGCGAAACUCCAGGGACAAUAUUUGAAAUCUUCUGUUUUCUUCCCCAAUUCGCAUUCUACUGUGAAAU